GUCAUCCUUACGCCUGCACGAUCUAGUGUGACUCUGAGCAGCCGUCUCCCGACUCUUCUUCCUAAGGAUCUAGAAGCAGAAAGCAGCAGCUCCACUUCCCUGCAAAGGAGCUGGGCGGCGGCACCAUGAAGUACAUGCUAAACCUCUACGUGCUGGGGGUCAUGUUGACCCUGCUUUCCAUCUUUGUUAGACUGAUGGAGUCACUGGGAGGAUUGUUGGAGAACCCAUUGCCCGGGAGCUCCUGGAUUACGAGAGGUCACCUAGCCAACACACAGCCUCCCAGGGGCCUUCCAGACCAUCCAUCCAGAGGAGUGCAAUAAAACCUCCCCCCAGGCAUCAGCCAUGCUUUGACACACUGACUUCAGCAUGUCCGACCACAUGUUUCAUUUCCCAAGAGGCAACAUCAAGUGUCUCCAAAGAACUGUUACUAGGCCUGGCAGGGCAGUUUUCUUUUGGAUGUUCCCUUACACGGGAAAAGAGCCUGUUUACUGGAGAGGUGUGAGUGGCUUGUCUGUGGCUCUGAGAUGGUGGUGUACCGUUUUCAGCUGUUGGGAGAACGUUUUUUUGGUUUUGUUUGUUUGUUUAAGUCCUCCGUCCUAAAGGACUCUUUUGGACCUAAGCAUCUUCUGUUGUUUACGAUUGAGCCUCUCUUCCAGGAGAGUUUUGUUUGGACAGCAUCUAAGGGGUUGUGGGUUGGCCACGAAGACAGGGUGGACCAUCCGGUGUUUAGGUCUAAGUUCUGCGUUUAAGUUCUUUCUCCAGUGUAAUGCACAUGUGUUUGUACAUAAUGUCUAAAGGGCUAUGGGAUGAUCAGGCCUGCUAGGGUAUAGGCAUUCCAGCCACUGUGUGGCUUACAUGAGUUUUUCUAAUGCAAUAAAUGUGAAUAUAUGUGUAUGUAUACAUUUC
rnacentral:lncRNA from 1 species